rnacentral:rRNA from 1 species
AUUGAACGCUGGCGGCAGGCCUAACACAUGCAAGUCGAGCGGGGUUUUCGGACCUAGCGGCGGACGGGUGAGUAAUGCGUAGGAAGCUACCCGAUAGAGGGGGAUACCAGUUGGAAACGACUGUUAAUACCGCAUAAUGUCUACGGACCAAAGUGUGGGACCUUCGGGCCACAUGCUAUCGGAUGCGCCUACGUGGGAUUAGCUAGUUGGUGAGGUAAUGGCUCACCAAGGCGACGAUCUCUAGCUGGUUUGAGAGGAUGAUCAGCCACACUGGAACUGAGACACGGUCCAGACUCCUACGGGAGGCAGCAGUGGGGAAUAUUGGACAAGGGGGGCAACCCUGAUCCAGCCAUUCCGCGUGAGUGAAGAAGGCCUUCGGGUUGUAAAGCUCUUUCGGCAGGAACGAAACGGCGAGCUCUAACAUAGCUUGCUAAUGACGGUACCUGAAGAAGAAGCACCGGCUAACUACGUGCCAGCCGCCGCGGUAACAC